rnacentral:rRNA from 1 species
UGGGGAAUAUUGGACAAUGGGCGAAAGCCUGAUCCAGUCAUGCCGCGUGUGUGAAGAAGGUCUUCGGAUUGUAAAGCACUCUAAGUUGGGAGGAAGGGCAGUAAGCGAAUACCUUGCUGUUUUGACGUUACCGACAGAAUAAGCACCGGCUAACUCUGUGCCAGCAGCCGCGGUAAUACAGAGGGUGCAAGCGUUAAUCGGAAUUACUGGGCGUAAAGCGCGCGUAGGUGGUUCGUUAAGUGGAAUGUGAAAGCCCCGGGCUCAACCUGGGAACUGCAUCCAAAACGGGCGAGCUAGAGUAGGGCAGAGGGUGGUGGAAUUUCCUGUGUAGCGGUGAAAUGCGUAGAUAUAGGAAGGAACACCAGUGGCGAAGGCGACCACCUGGGCUCAUACUGACACUGAGGUGCGAAAGCGUGGGGAGCAAACAGG